UAAUAUAUCGGAACGUACCCUGGAGUGGGGGAUAACGUAGCGAAAGUUACGCUAAUACCGCAUACGAUCUAAGGAUGAAAGUGGGGGAUCGCAAGACCUCAUGCUCCUGGAGCGGCCGAUAUCUGAUUAGCUAGUUGGUGGGGUAAAGGCCUACCAAGGCAUCGAUCAGUAGCUGGUCUGAGAGGACGACCAGCCACACUGGAACUGAGACACGGUCCAG
rnacentral:rRNA from 1 species